rnacentral:miRNA from 2 species
AUGGUCGAAGUAGGCAAAAUC